ACCAGGCGUGCUUAGUGGGACCUGCUAAGGCUUUUAUCAGAGACUAAUGACUUUGACCUUACUGUCCGAUCCCUCAGCGCAGAGGUAAGGAUGAAGACUGUUCUUGGGAAAAGUCACGAUUGGGAGGGCUGCACUAUCCUGUGUCAACAAACUACCCCACGAACCUUGUGUCUGAGUAGCACUGACAAAGUAAAGCCAUGGAGCGCAAACAUAUUUAAGGCAUAUUGUCCUACAUAAGAGUUUUGUCUACCUACAGUGUUUCAGUGGUGUGCCAAAAAAGGCAAUUUUUCGCAAGUACUAUACUUAAAAUUGCUUCAAAACUUUGCAGAAGCUCAAAUGUAGAGAUUUCAACCAGACAGGAAACCUACAGUUUAGCUUGUUUAGCUAAAUUAUGAGCUAAACUGAUAUAUCAGUAGCUUGAAAUACAUCCACGAAGGUGUUUUCAGAUAAACUGUUUUCUAAACCAGUAUAAAUUCUUUGCACGGACACAAUCUGAGGAUUUUCACCAAGGAUUAAGUGUUAACCGACUACUUCCCUGUACAAUCUGUGCCAAAUUUUGUUCUCACUUCCUCUGGUCCUGAGUAACUUCACUGCAUUUGAAGUGGUUAUCCUAAAUUUGAUUCAGCAUAACAGACCAAAAUUUAGCUUUAAGCGUCUCAUGGAGGAGCAUUGUCUUCUGUUGGUGUGUUUAUAGAUUUUUUUGGCUGACAAUCCGGAAUGAAUGAGCAGCCCAGUUCAGGUGUGAGCUCCUUCCCUACCCUGCCUUGUAGAUAAAUCUCCUUGUCGCAGUUUCUGUAUACCUGAAAAGUGGGUGUGAGUUGGUAGAAAAUGAGAUCUUCUUCACUUCUUCCUUUGGUAACAUUUUGUGGCCUGUUUAAACAGGCAAGGUGCAAGAAAUCAAGUCCCAUUUCACGCAUGGGAAUUGCUGUUUCUGGCAGUAAGUGUUUAUAAGACCAAAUUCCUUUUUGUGGAGUAAAAAUAAUACUUUCAAAAGUCAGGCUGUAUAUGUAAAUUAUUUAGGGAUAGAUCUUCAGUGAGGUUUCUAGAAUGAAGCAAGUAUUUAUGAUAUGAGAGCCUUCAAGCUUUGGAGAACCAUAUAUGGUCAAGCGGCAAAGAGGGUCAGACUUUUUGUGUAUUUAAAUGUCUCCGAAUUACUUUGAGUCUUGCAUAAUUUCUGCUUUCUCUAUGUCUUUUUCAUUAAACUUCUGUAGUCAGGUAGCACCCUGCAAGCUGCGUUGAAUCCGACACCUAAGAUAGCCUUAUAAACCCUGCGGACAUUAAACUACUGGAAAACAGAUUGGGUUGGUAAAAAUAAGUGUGCAUGUUCUCACAGAACCUGAGAAAAUCACACCUUCACUUUGUUAAAAAAAAUCUGUUUGUGCCACUCCAGUAAUCACUCCAUAACUGGUGGGAGAGCAAAACAUAUGUCUCAGAAGUGGUGGAAUAUAAAAGCCUCUACCUCUAAUCCUAUUUUCUUUAAGAGAAAAAAAAAAGCAACAAACCCCCCAACCUUUCCAGUAUGUCAUCUGUAAAAUCGGUGCCAAGGGUGUUCUGCUUAAAAAUCACGAAUGAAAUGUAAAUUGCUCAUGAAAGCAAAAUGAAACAGAGGUUUGGGUUUUUUUUAAUGAGGUGUGUAAUGGAGUAGGAUCGUGCACUGAAAUGAUUGCUUGAAGUAGGAACAGAGGAUAUAAAGAGGAGUCCAAUCCUGGCCUCCUUCCUCAGGCAAAGUCUUCACGUGUAGACGAUUUGUAUGAACAGCCUUAGCUUUCCUGCGUCGAUGUGCUGAACAAGCCCCGGUCUGGAAAGGGGGAACCCUUGGAAAAUUGAGGUCUGGGGCUCCUCCCUGGCACUGGAGGUUCGUAGCGUGUGUCUGAGAAGCGAAGGCUCUUCUCUGUUGGGGUCCAGUGAGGUGUCCUGGUUAGAGCAGUGACCCCUGCACCUGCCUUCUUGUGGAAGAAAACAUUACCGCAGGAGGAUAAAUGCAGUGUAUUUUAGAGCUGGUUUUACUCUGCUAUUUGAAUGUAGAAGGCUGCAGCAGCUGUCACGACACUAAAGCUGCUAUUCCCGAAGCAUUUCAGUAUCUCCUCUGCCAAGUGGCACCUAUCCUGGCCUGCCCCCUGCUCUCAAGGGUACGGGAUGGUCUAGAAUUUGUGACCUCGGAGAGGUGAUUCAUUUAAUUGAUGUGGAUAUUAAUUUCCAUUAUUCCUUUCUAAUUUUUCUAUGAAAGUUUUAAAUUCAAUUCCUUGUUAUCGGUUUGUUGACACAAAUUUGUUCUGCCUUCUGUCCCUUUCUUAGGAAGAAACCUUUUGUGCUCCACGUCGAUGGUGGUUUGAAUGGGAAUUCGGCUGUGUCAGGGCAGCAAGAGGAGAGUUAUAAAUGCUAAGGCUUUUUGUAGUGAUUUCUGUGAAACUCCUUGUUUAAUACUUUAGCGGUUUCAUUAGCGAGUGGGGUCCUGGAGAAGUAAAGCAGUACCAACAGGUGUGUUGUGGGUGGCUUUGGGGGCCCUGCUGCGGGUACUGAAUCCGAUGUGCCUGCCGUCCCCAAAGCAUUUCUUGGUUUGUUAUUUCUGAGGGCUGAAAUCACCUCUGCUCAAAUUUACCUUUCGGACUCUGCACUAGUGUGGUAAAUAUUGGGUAACAGGAUAUUUACAGAGGGAUCAUUUGCAUAGAGAAUGCACGGGACCUGAACGUUGAUCUGUGAGAGAGAGGAGGUGAAAAGAAACAGGCUUCUCUUCUUCCAGGGGGCUGAGUGGUGAAAUGGUCAGAACCUUGAACGCUUUAAUGUGUGGCAAGGCUGCUGCUUGAAAUAAACGCUCAGAAGAAAUCUCAGUCUAAUGCUACGAGCAUAAAGAGGAGAUGAUGGCAAUUUAGAACGUAAUCAGCAGAACAAACGUAUCCCACUUUAAAGCUGUUGAAAUCAGCGUGGUGACAGGUUGUGCCUUGGGAGACCUUGGUCUGGCAGUGUCCAAAUUAAAUGCGAAAAUACAAACUAACUACUGACAUUAGACACAGGGGGUCUCGGGAAGGUUGUUUUUGUCAGGAUUCAGUUGCUCUUUCAUCUUCCAUACAAACCCCAUCUCCUUCCUUCUCCCAUGUUGCUAAUCAGUGAGGUCAGGGGACGGGGGUCCAGCCAGAGCUGUGCUAAGCACCAGGGCUGCUCGGGGAUCAGCAGGUUCCCCAAAUUGCACCCUUUGUGCCCUGCUGUGACCUCAUCCUUCUGCCGGUUUCACGUAGGUUAACGCCAGGGCUGUACAUCUCCUCUGGAAGGCAGCACCUCCGGCAGUGUCUUGUCCGUGGCGCUGGGCGGCUUCAGGUGUGACUCGGAUGGAUCAAUGCCACCGAAGGGGUGACCUGCACUGUGACGCACGCCGCUCGCUUUUUACUUCUGUUCCAGCCACAGACCUCACUUCUCUGGUACAGGCUGACAAACAGUCCAAGGAUUAAAAAAAACACGAGAAAUAAAUCGCCAGUUUCUGCACACCUUGCAUAUGAAGAGGACCGAUUCCAUAUUUAUCAGAGCACCAAACAGCCCUUCUUCCACCUCUCCCUCCUUUUCAGGAAAAGUGAUGACAGAAAAUCUUCCUAAUGUGAUCGCAUUCUUAUACCUAACUAUGAAAAGAAAAACCGAAGUCUCGCUUCUACAAAUUAGAGGAGCAGGCCCGCUGCAUUCGGAAGGACAUUGUGGUCCCGGAGCACAUCAAGAGAAGGGAAACAGCUGAUGAAGGGGCUGGAAAACAAGGCUUACAAGGAGCGCCUGAGGAAACUGUGGUCAUUUGGCCUGGAGAGGAGGAGCUGAGGGGAGACCUUAUCCCUCUCUACAACUGUCUGAAAGGAGGCUGCAGAGAGGUUGUGUGUGUGCAUAGGCAGGCAGUGCAGACUGAGACCGUCGCUGCUCUGGACCUGGCGCCCAUGCCAUGCACGUUUUCGGAAGGUACUUCAGACUGGUGCUGGUCCAGUCCUGUGGACUGAAUGCCCGUAAUCCAAGUGUAUUGGCAUGCUGUGGAUCACCGAACACAUCCUGAACACAUCACCCUUGAACAGCAAAAAUAUACACAUUCUGCAUGGAUUGCAGCGAGGCUCAUGGUACUUAUAUAGAUGCAAACCAAGAAGGACCCCAACGUGGAAAAUAAAUUUGAGGCUGUCUCUCACCGAGUACUGCAACUAAAAAAAAAUCCAGCAUAGAAACUAGAUCCAAACACAUUGCUGAUUAUUCCUCUGCAAUUCUCCUUUAAGACUUUGGAUGGUCUUUAAACCAUCAAACAAAAGAAAUGUAAUUUUACAGAGUGACUUGUCUGGGAGUAGAAUGAGAUGGAACAUCUGUCCUUCUGAACUGUUGGAAUUGCUUGGCUGAAGCAAAUGCAAGAUGAAAAAAAUGGAGAUAAAAAGACAUUUUAAAAAAAUAGGACUUGUUAAUCUUUUCUCUAAAACACAUACUAAACUUUUCAAGUGAAAUUUACUCAUACUAUUUCCUGCUAUUUUAUACUACUACAUCUUCCCACAUAACAGCCGAGUUAAAAAAGGAAAAAAGUAAAACUGGUUUCAUUACUGAGAUAACAGCAUAUGCCAGGACAAUUGAAAAAACCUGAUCCACAAAAUAUAGUUUUAUUUUCUGAAAUGAUGUCAAGGAAAACACUUAAUGACCUAGACUCUUGUAUCAUACCAUCAGCAUCUUAGCUAAUUAUUAUAAAGAUCCUUAUUUUGUUCCAAGCUGGUGUUCUAGAAAACAUAACAGAAAAACCCAACCAUUAAGCCUUCCAUGCCAGAAAGCGCUUUCAGACUAGUAAAAGGUAACAUUGUCUUUUUAAAAUGUUUUCAGCAGCCAGUAAUCUAUUUUCAUGGUGUUCUGUAAACCCUAUUAUCAGGGCUGCAGAUUCCUACACAUGACCAGUCUUCAGUAGUGAACAGAAAUGGCAUCUAAAUCCCAAGUGACACUCUUAAGUACUUGGCAGCAGAAGGGCUCUUCUGAGGAAGAUUAAGUUAAUGGAAGCAUUUGGGUAACAUCUGCAUGACUCUUCGUCCCAGCAUGGCCAACUCACACUGCCGCCACACGUGACGGAGGAUUUCUUCGAUUAUCACUUAAGAACAAAACUGGCUGAAGUUCCUUUCCAGGCGCUGGCCGGGCUGCGAUGGAUGGGUGAGAGCGUAUCGGCAGUGUAAACACGUGCUGUCGCAAAGGCCGGGCCACGCGGGCUUUGAAGAGGACUUAAUAAAAAUCAGAUUACUCUUUUAAUGAAAAGUAAAAGAAAUCGGGGGAAGAUUUGUUGUUGUAGCUGCUGUUUGUUUGUCUUAUUUACAGCAAGACGUACUGUCUUUUCCAGUUGAGUGCUGCCGCGGGCACACAGAGCCUCAUUAAUACAGGCGAUUAAUGCACUUGCCCUUCACCUCAGCUGACCUGGGUUUAAAUCUGUUAUUUUCUUACAAGUUGGAGGAGUUUAUUGGCCUUUCUUUAGCCUGUAGCUGGUGCCCUUCCACCUCAUAAAACCACCUCACAAUUUGGCGUAAGUGCUGUUUGCUGGUGUGAAAAGACCCGAGGCUGCAGCAGCAGGGAUGAGGCAGGUCCCAGCCGAGGGACAGCUGCGAGGGGUACGGGGCACCCUCCCCCAGGAGUCCUGGACUGGUCUCGCUCGGCUUUGCAGAUUCCCAUUUGAAAUCAGGGAGAUCCUUGCUUGUCUGCAUAAUGCAACGCUGGUUUCCAUGCCUGGGUUGAACACUUACGUGGUUUCAUUUUCCAUUGGACUAGUAUUAAAAGAAGGAAAGGGAGGAACAUAAAGGAGUGAAUUUACAGCAGUAUUGAACACCACAAUUUAUAUUUGUGCUGAGAUUUGCUGACAGUACGGACCUGGCAGAGUGGAGUAGAAGUAUUAAAUUCUCUGAAAAGAUUUUUGUUCUCUACUGGUUAUCCCCACUCUUUCAAAUCUCCUUUCCUGCAAAGUCCAACGCUGCCAUUGUCAAGAGGUGAUUUUCAUCAACAACCACAGGGGGAACCUACAGACCAGUGCAAGCUCCAUGCGAGUACCUCCUCCACUUUAUUUCAAGAUCCGGCUACAUGGAAAAUCAUUGUGACUUAGUGUUCCAAAAUUUGAAAUAGAAGGUGACAAAUUAUUGCAAGUUUGAAGUGAGAUCCAUCCUGAGAAAGAGGAAGCUCGGAAAUUAUUCCUCCCUUCCUUGAAAAGAAGCAUUUUAGAGGAAAUUGGCAUUUUCCAGGAGAAAGCCUUAGAAACUGAAUUUGAAAUUUGUGUAAAUGAACAGAACACUCAGCAUUUUGCACAAUUGUACAGAAACAUAAAAUUUGAAGAACAGAAACCAGCCUGAAAUUGAAAAAAAAAAAAACCCACUUUCAUAGUUCCACAAGAAUGAAACAAAAAUAAAGGUCACCUUUUACAGGCAGUGAUCUGUGUCGUAUUGUCUGAAGGGUUCUGACAACUUGCUGCUGAACAGGAUUCAUAGUGGCUUGGGAGCAGAAAAUAUCUUCUCUUACCUGCUGCCUGUUGAAAAGCGACGCUGCUCUAACCCCUUUCUUGCUGCUACUCCUACGCGAAAGGGAGAGGAAACCUUUGCUACAAGCCCUUCAGCAGAGAGUGGAUCCAUGGAGGACUCGGUUACAUGGUGCGGUCUGGGGCCCAGUUUGACUUUGCUUCAACUUUCCAGCAGUCCCAGAACUCUUCAAAAAUGUGGGUGGAGAUCCUUUACAGAUGCUUACUAUGGUUACUCGCCAUGAAAAACAGUAGGACUGGCCAACGUAGACUCCAGGUGGUGGAUCAGCAUUAAUCAUAAUAGACCCCGAGGCAGAGGAUUGGCAAGAUACUGCGAGAAAUGGCUGUACGUCCACCCCCUUGAACUCCAUUUCCUCCCAUGGGGGACAGGGAUGUGGAGGAUUUUUCCCUGGGAGGAGAAGAGAGCGACGAAGACAGACCGAUGUGACAGAUGCACGUCAAGGGAGUGGCUGUCACUCUGCAGGGAGGUGUUGAGAUAUCACGACGAUGGGCUUGCUGCACAAACCUGAGCUGAACAAAAUACGCUGUUUGGAAAACUGCACAGACGUGGAAAUCGUUAACUGCCUCGGUUUUCUCUGCGUGCUUUCAUUAAGCAGUUUUGGAGGAAGGUUGUGCAGGAGAGCAAAGUGUCCCGGAGCGAAGGCAAUCUCUGUGAAGUGAUAUUUACCUGUUCACUGAGAACCCAGAGCCUGACAAUCGCUUGUGACAAGUGUGUCAGCCCAGAGGAAGGAAUAAGAGGACAGAUGGCAGAAAUUUCCCAAGGGAGAAAAGAGAAUUACUAGAGAAGAUCAGGAUCAGACCCGCACAGGUGAUCAUGAAAUCAAAACACCUGAAAACUCAAUUUCUCAAGGUCGCUAUAACCCACGUCUGGGUAACCAGAUCCUCUGAAUUCUGAGGCAAAUGGGACAACGUGAGAAAACUGGGAGGUACUGGAAGACUGGGCUUCUUGAUACACAUUGAAUCCAGAGCGGGGACGGAAAGUAAUUUUGUGAACGUAUUUACAGAAGAUGUGUAAUAGAUCCAGCGAGGGCUGAAGGCUGGUAAUAGUGACGGAUGUAGUACCGUGGAGAAAAGAAACCUGAACACUGCUCUCCGAGGAGGCUGAGCAAGGAGUGAGACAGUGGGGUCAAGGACACCCUCAGCAAGUUUGGAGGUGACACCAAGCUGAGUGAUGCAGUUGCAUGCCAGAAGGAUGGGAUGUCAUCCAGAGGGAACUGGACAAGCUGGAGAAAUGGGCCGGUGUGAGCCUUGUGAGGUGGUGAACUGAAAAGAUCCGAAUGAGACAUAAAUAAAGAAGAGACUUUCUUGGUCCCCUUUAAGUCUAAAAGCGUUGCUGAAUCUGGGGAAGGCGCAGCCCUGAGUUUAGCACAAUGCUCCGCGCGUCGGUCAGCUGUCCCCAGCCCCUGUCUCACGUGUCCCACAGGCGCCAGCUCCACGCUCUGCUGAGGCUCCGAAGCUGCAGAGGCAUCGUGUGGCACUCCCGGUGCCACCCCAGGCAGGUAUGCUCCAUGCUUGACCUUGAGCAAGUCCUGCAGGCUGAGAUCCAGAAAAUACUUACGCACCUAAAUCCCACUGUGGGAUUGAGCCACCUGGAUAGGAGAAAGGUCCAAAUUUUCAAAGAUCCUACAUUUUUCAGAGCAUCUCAUCUGCAACGUGAACAUGGAAGCUCAUGGUUUUCUUCGGCAGGAUGUCAUGAGAACAGAUGCACCAUGUUUGUCACAUAUAAACUGCUGAUCUCUGCCAAGCCCAAACGCUGGGUCAAAACAAGGUUCUGCUUUUUCAAUACUGGCCUCAAGAGAAGCUCCGCGGGAUGAAAGGGUUAUUAUGUGACUCGAUGCCUUGAGUCACCUCGGGUACCUCAGGUGAAGGUGCGAUGUUCUGUCCCAGAAGCUGCGGUUCCUAUGCUGGCCAAAGAACUUCAUCUUAGAUCCCUAAUGGGGAUGAUAGAGGCAAAAUUCAGUAGACGUGAGCAGAUGGUGAUCCUGUUCUGAGACAGCACAGCUGGGCAAGAGGAAUCUGCUAAAAAUGCCGUCUGAAAUGCUUUCCCUUCAUGCACGUCAGCCUGUAGCUUGUGUUUGAUGCUACUGGGAAGUAGAUUCUCAGGAACGAAGCAUUGGGAACAGCAGCUUGUGAAUGAGGACAGCCCUUUGCAGCACCCUACCACGUUUGGUGGUGUAUUGCAGAACGUAGAGGCCACUGCUCCUUCUCAUCCUGAUCCAUUAUGGUGCCUCCCACCCAAACGAAGAUGUGUGUCAAGAACGCCGGUUUAUUUGCACCGUGGUACAAGGACAGAAACCGCUUCUCCCGAGUAUGCCUUGAACCGUGAACUGGUGCUGUUGUGCGGGUGUCCUGGAUGUUUGGUGAGCGGUAGCUCGAAGCACGAGAGCAGACUGCAGCGUGUCGGAGAGAGCUAAUUAUAAUAAUGGCUCCGGGUCAGGGGAAGAAAGGGACAAAACAUCCACAUACUAAUAGCUCAUACAACCAAAGAGGGAAAAGCGCAGCCUGCUUGAUCCAUGGAAAUGAGGAGUGAGGUCCAAAGCUCCAACCUGAGAUGUUUAAAUGGACUUCCAUGUACCGUUACCGAAGAAAGAGAGAUAACAGUAUCGUGUUCUGCACACAGCUGGAGUGUGAAGGGUAUUGAGAAGAGGAGAGGCAUUAUAUUAUAGCCACACUGUUCUUGAAGGAACCGCCCUUGUUUCAUUUUCAAGGAUCCUACUGUUCUGUACAAAUUUGGUCUUCUCUCGCCAUAUAAUUGGAGGUGAUCUUCAUUAGAGAAAUAUGAGCCUGAGCCAAUUAACAGGGGUUUUUAUAUCAAAGGAAAGAAUCCUAUAGCAGCUUGUUUAUUGAAUGAAUAAUGCUUUGAUGUUUCUUCCUUUUGUACUUUUGUCAUUGGAAAAUGUUAUCUGAAGGAAGUGGGAAUGUAUGGAAUCAUAGAAUAUCUUGAGUUGGAAGGAACCCAUAAAGAUCAUUGAGUCCAACUCCCUGAGGCAGAGAUCUGCAUAAUAAGUUCCCUGGGCAUGGUGUUGAUGCCACAUGUCUAUGUGAUGAGGAGGUUGAACGGCACUAAACUGUUGUUAGUGGGGAAAAAGGUGGCUAGACACAUUGCCUCUGCCCCUGAGAAAUCCUCUCCUGCUUCCGGGGAGCUUCUCACUAUUCGGUUGCCUAGACAUAGUACUGGUCUUCCUGGAGACAACAAAAGGCUUUCUUCUGUAACUAAAAAUGAUUUCCAUGUGCAAGUAACAUCUGAUGAAGGACAUAUGUCUGCAGAGGCCUGUUGUUUUUUGUCUGGUGUGCCUGCUUACUGAUUUAAAGCCAAAUUCUGCAACCUUGUAUGAACACAAGCCCGUUGUCUCCAGGGAUCAAGAACAGAGUUUGGCUCUGGCACCGGAGAGGUCUACCACAAACCAUGUAAUUCCAGUGUAUGCAUGAUGUACGACUUGUAACCUUGUUCUCUGCAGAGUAAGUGGUUUGUACAUCUCUUAUGGAGGCACGGUAAAGAAUUCCAGCACUGCAGCUGAAAUUCAUUCUAUUUUAAAUUGUCCUCUUGCAUUUACAAACAACUGUGUUUCCCUUGCCCACUUCUGUAUAAACAACCAUUGUGGUAUAAAUACCCUUGAAUACUUUGUGGAUGGAGCUGUGUGGUGGGAUGAGUGAAAGGUCAGCCCAAGGCUGAGAGAAAGCACUAUCCAAAUAGGAUAAAGAACACAGAACACAGAAGCCAUAUGGUUAAAAAAAAAGAUAAAAUUCCUGUUCUGCAUUGGUGUAAACUACUGUUCCUUAAAGAGCUGUAGAUUUAGAGGCUUCCCUAUUAGAAACUAUUUGUUGAAAUGUCAGUCUGUGAUGCUUUUUUCAAUCAAGGUGGGUUUAAAGAUUUUGAAACUGAAAUUCUAGAGUAGCAUUUUCUCUUGCAUUCUAAACAACUGUGCUGUUUGUUAAGAAUAGCAUCAGAUUUUGGCAAUUCAAUCUUAUUUUGUGUGUUUAGCUUGAAAAAAAUAGCACCUCUCUUUCUUAAGUGUAAUUGCUGGGGUCCAGGGAUAUCCUAAAAUUGCUACUAGAAUUUCCUGGAAGCAAUUUAUCUAUCUAUCUAUCUAUCUAUUCAUUUAUUAAAGGGGCAAGAGCACAAGAGAGAGGGAAAAAGCAUAAGAUAUGUUCCUGAUUUGUGCAAGAUCCACACACGGUACAGAAAUUGCCACUUCAGUUCUACUGCUAGUUUCCUGUUUUCUUAAGGCAAAAUUGUAUUUGAAAAAAAAUAGCCAGUUUGUAAUAUUAAUUAGUGUAACAUUACCAACUGUGCUCUGUGAGUAGAUUUUUACAUCCUCUCUUAUGUCUUUCUCCUUCAGCUGAGGUAAUAGUAAAGAAGGAGGGAGGAUAUUAUUUUUACAUUACUGUUAAUUUAAAGCUGGGAAGCCUCAUUUGCAGAGGUUUCGUUCUGUCUGCAGUGGAGAGCGCUACACAUGCUGUGCACGGGCGUAUGAGACAUAGGGCUUGUUAUACAAAGAUAGCACUCAGGAGGAACCGGGAAUGGAUAUGGAAACUGGCUUCCCUGUGUCCUUGGUAGUGCCUGCAGCUUAAGCAUAGACCUUUCCCUGAAAAAUAGGACACAAAGCAAGUAAGAUUUACAAAAUAUAUCAACGUUUUAAUGAAGUUUUGUGUGUUUUAUGCACACAUUUUUUGUGUAAGCUAAAAGAAUCCUGUACAGGAUAUUGAGUCCCAGUGUUUCCAGACGAUCAGACUAAUACUACCUUUCAUUAAAGACUACUCGUUGUAUACCUUGAAGCACCUUUUAUUUCUCUGGGUAACUGACCCACUGCUCUGCCCUUUGCACGUUUAGGGUGCAUUGUAGCCUUGCCUUCUUUAAAAAAAAGGAGCCCUUUGAGCUGAAGAGGCCUCAGCGCUUUUCAGGUGCUCAUCUUCUCCCCCAAGCAGCCUGGAGAUGCCUUCUGUGGUAUGUGUGGCUUCGGAGCCGAGACCCAGGAGCAGCUGUCCCCUCAUGAAUCAUUCAUAGGGGGGAGCUCUGAUGAUGAAUGAUCAGCUGCAAACAAUGCAUAACAUUAAGAGAAAAUAAAUGCAUUACAGCCUAAUUUCAUUUUUUCCCUCCCAGAGGUGGAGCAGAGCCCCAGGUGUCUUCAUGGCAGGAUAACUUCAGUGGCGGAGGAACCUUGGAGUCCUGGCCGCUGCUUUCUGAGGAUGCACAGGUCUUCUCCAAACCUUUCUCAACAAGAGGAGGUGAAACAGCAGCGAUGAUAGGAAAGCUGUUCUGGUGUUGGUCCUUUGGAAUACAGAGAAAACCGGCUGGAGCCCCGAAAUGGCUAUUUUGCACCUGCUCGCUGCCUCUCCUUCUGUUCCAGCUGCUCCUCUACAGCAUUGCCAAUCCAGCACCGUCGGAAGAAGGAUUUCUCCCAGUAACUUGAUAAUGUUUAACCGGAGUUCUUGGCUGACAUGACUACUAGCAGUAUUUGGAUCCUUCCAUCUCGAGAUGCCCCUGAUGGGUGCUGACACUCCUCGCAGUAACAGCUCUCUGUGGUGCCCUCUUCCUCCUUGAAGAAGAAUCAAAUGGUGAUGAAACUCUGCCCAGAAGGGGUCCUGCAGCAUGGCUGAGGUGUGCUGGGGACUCAGUGAACCAGAAUCAAAGAACUUUUCUUCCAUUUCUUGCUUCCCUCUCUUAAGUUUCAACCUCUACUAGCAGUAAGAAGCAAAACGCAAGGGAGCAACCAAAAUGGGAAGCAAAAUCAUUCCUAUAUCUUGUGUCUGUGUUCAGCAAAGGGGAUCAAGUGAAUUUGCACCAAUGCAAGUUCUUGAUGCGCUAUGGAUGGAGCCAGAGGCAUUGCCUUUGAGAAAGUAAGCCUUAUUAUUUAAGGUGGGGAUUUUAUUCUUUCAGGAGAUUCUUACAUGCUCUUUGAUUUUUCUGAGAUAAUUUGAAAUUUUGACUUUUGAUGGCAAAAGACACAACAUUGUGUCUAGGCUCGGCGGAGCACAGACUAACCAGUGCUGCAGGCUGUGGAAGAACUGGUUGUGAUGAUAAAAAUGACCAAUGUUUUGGGGUUCCUCCAUUUCUGGGCUCUGAAGGUUGUAAGUACAGGUGCAGCGCUCACUGAGGGGCAGGAAACUUCGAGGAUCUGCACUUGGAGAGCUGACGGCUCUGAGAAUGAAAUAUCCCACACAGAACUGCUGAGGGUUUCAACACUCCUCAGGACCUGAGCCAAGUUUUUUGUUGUUGUUUGAAAUCUUGGCUGCUUUAUGUGAUGCCCCUCAGUAAAAAAGGAGCCACCUAAAUGCCUCCCUGUUGAGCAAGAUGCUUAAUUUUAAGCAGCUGAAGUUGGAAAAGUUGACCUUGUGACUUCCUUUUGAAAGGAGGCUGUUGUUCUGCUCUGUGUAAGCACUGCUGUCUUCAUUCACUGCUCCUGAGAGGCAUUUGCAUCAGACCUGUAAAAGCAGGGCUCAAAAGCUUUAAGAGUGACUGUACAAUACUAACCAUAUGCGCAUAAAUUGCCAAUAUCGCAUAUUGAUGGUCUUGAAAUAAUUUCAUGCAUUAAUUGCACCAGAUUUUAUGCAUUAAUUGUACCAAGUUCACAAGUAGAAGAUAGUUAUUCAGCUAUCAUAUUGUGAACUCUCUCUGGGGUCAAGGAUGCCAGUGGCUUCUUCAGCUGCAUCAAAGGUACUGGGAAGCCAGAUUGUGUCGUCGGUGGCAAUGACGGAGCCUCGGUAUUUUCAGAUUUGCCUGGGCAGGCAGGAGUGGCUCCACCGAAGGCACUGUUGCUACAGCAGGAGAAAUAAACCCCCAGCUGGAUCAGAAGGACUGAGAAGAAUUAAAAGCCCCAAAGCCUUAUUGUCAUCAACAAAGUAAGAAGAGAGAGAUCUGAAGAGAUGCAGGCAGCAAAACUGCUAAAUUCAUAAAUUGGGAUUUCAUGCGAUGUCUGGUGUGAGUUAAAACACUUGUACAGCUUGAAACAGAAUUUUUCACUUUUUUGACUGCAAAGCUAUUAUUCAACCCUUAACGUUUCUGACAAACCAGGAAGAAUUUUUGCCAACCAUUGGGCAUUCCUGUAGGCCACUAUGUAUCCUGUUGGUCUACAGUUUUACUGAACACAAAGGUGACCCAGUAUUUAUGAUCGUUAUGCUUUGGUGACAAGUGGUGUCCUCAGGGCUCUGUGUUGGAUCCAGUUCUGUUCAACAUCUUUAUCCAUGAUCUGGAAGAAGGGAUUGAAUGCACCCUUAGUAAGUUCACAGAUGAUACUAAACUCAGUGGAGAUGUUGAUCUGCUUGAGGGCGAUGAGGGUCUGCAGAGGGAUCUGAACAGGCUGGAUCCGUGGGCUGAGGCCAACAGGAUGAGGUUCAACAAGGCCAAAUGCCGAGUCCUGCACUUGGAACACAACAACCUCGUGCAGCUUUAGGCUUGGGGAAGCGUGGCUGGAUAGUGCCUGGCAGAGAAGGACAUGGGGGUGGUGGCUGACAGGUGGUUGAAUAUGAGCCAGCAGUGGCCCAGGUGGCCAAGAAGGCCAAUGGCAUCUCGGCUUGUAUCAGAGACAGCGUGGCCAGCAGGAGCAGGGAAGGGAUUCUGACCCUGGACUCGGCACUUGUGCGGCUGUAACUCGAAUCCUGGGUUUAGGAACACAAAGGACAAAAUUAGCACUCAGACCCACUGAUUACAAAGGAUGGACAUAUCUGCAGGGUCCCUCUCACCCAGGUUUAAGUUUCCACAGAGUCAGUGUUUGAGGUAGUCAGGUUCCUUCUCAGCCAAAGGGAAAAGUGGACACAUGUUUAAUACGCUGUUAACCUUGGCUAUUUCAGAUACUUACUUUAGUGAUGAAUUGCAGUUCAGAAACUCCCUUUCUUGGCUGGCGAUAGAGAGAAUCAAGAAACUAACCUCAGAUUUUAGAUAUCUAAGUCAGUUCAAUGAAUCAUGACCCCAGAACUGGUCAUUUUGAGUCUCUGUAUUUGCCAUUUGAACUGUGCGCCGUGUAUGUUGUAUGGUCUUUUAACGUCCUUCUAUGUGCUUCUUGCCCCUGAAGAUCUCCCACUAUGAACAUUUUUGGCCCACAUUUUUAAGCUUUUCUUCUGUGUUGUUCCCUUACUUUUUUAUUCCCAAGUGCUCAUGUGCUUCCAACCCUGACUACUUUUGUUUAACAACGCUGCCCUUAUUGUCCCUCUUCCAAAGUAAAUAGAAUGAUCUAUACGCAGGGGUGAAAGGAGAAAGUUUUCUUUUGAUCUAGCAAUCGUCUGCUCUAGUUUCUUCUCUUGUAUCUGGAUGCUUGGGUCAGAGACACAUGAUUUGCUUUGUAUUUCCAUAGUGCCUUGUACAAUGUCCGUGGCCAAGCACAAUGGCUGUACAACGAACAGGGGAAUAAUGAAUAGUAAAUGAAGUAAGAGCUAAGUAAAUAGAGAACUGUGGUGAGGGAGAGGGGAGUCCAUGGACCAAAAACACAGAGAAAGGGAGAAAGAAUCAGAAGGUGCAGUGAGAAACUUAUUGGAGUCUGAGGGUGAAAACUCACAGUGCCGAAGGAUUAGGAGGGAAAUGGAAAAUAACAAUCAGAUUGGAAAAAAGAUACUUCAUGAAAGCAACAGUUGAAGGUGUAUAAUGUGGAACUAGUUCAGAAAGCCACAGAAGGACUGAAGAAAAACCCCGGACGCUCAGAAGAAAACACGAGGAUGAGGGCUGUGGGGCAAAAAAAGGCCAAUAGGGCAAUAACAUGGCUUGGGAUAAAGUGAAUGACUCUGGUCCUGUAAGAGCGCAAUGUUCUAAGCUGAGGCUACCAAGCUUACUCCACCUGUGGACCGUUUGCAUUCUCUUUUUCCCUUGUUUGGCUCCUUGCCAUGGUGUCUUUAUCAGCUUAUUUUCCUGAGGUGAUAGAUUAGUCCAUUUUCCACCUGGUUCCUCUGCAGCAGGCGUUUGGAAAGGGCUGUGUUAGUGAGCAAAGAUAAAAUCCUCACAAUGAACACUGCAGCCUGAGAGUGACAAUGUUCAGCCCUUCCUUGUCAGCCAGAGCCUGCCCUCAGCUUGGAGCUGCCACCGAGCUGCGCCCGUACCGUCGAGGGCAGGGUUUAGCACUGCUCUCCAGCAUACAAUUAACACAGAAGGUCUAUACAUUAUCUCAUCUUACAUUUUUAUUAUUUGCAGCUUAUUGUUCAACUGAGCAUGUAUCAUUGGUUAAUUAAUGCUGCCAACACUCUGCUCCUCUAAAUGAUUGUUUAGCCUGGAGUGGAAUAAAAUACUACAAUGACUAAUACAGUACCAUUAUGUAACAGAAAAUUAAAAAUCUGAUAAUUUGAUUGGAAGUCUCAGGUGAGUUUUUUGUAUAAAAGUGUUAACCUUGAGUAGCUAUAAACAGGUAAAUGUUUUAUUCAGCUGACUGAUAAGGAAUAAAUGCUUAUGAUAUAAAUUAUGUAUAAUUAAUACUCCUGGGAUAAAAAAAAAGUAUGCUAAUAGGUUGUCAGUUAAUUAGGAGAGGAAUAUGAGGUAAACAAAGGUGAUUAGAAUAUACCCUGGGACCAUAAACAGAAAUUGUGCCUUAAAUAAUCUGUAAAAAAACCCCUCACAUUAAACAGCAAAUAGUUCAGUUUUAAUUCAGAGCGAAACCAUAAUGCUUUAUGGAGAAAGGCACGGUGGAGAUGUUAAAUGAAGAAACAGCUUGUGAUAACAGAUCUCGGGGCUGCAGAGUACCUGACUUUUCCUGUUCUGCUUUAUCUUGUUUUGCCUUUUGUCUUGCCCUGUCCUCAGAUAAAAGAAGGCUAAAAUAAGCUUUGCAGAAAACCCAUGGCAAAUAGCGUGCUAGAAGAGCAAUCUCACAUUUUAGCUUACAAAAAUGAGAGCUUGUGCUGGUUGGCCUUAAAUCUGCAACAUGGGAAGUGUUCCCCAAAUCAGUUUAUGCUUCUCACCUGCCCUCUGACUCACUGCUCCUCCUUGCUUCUGCCAUUACCCUCAUGUGAUAAAUGAGACCUUCCUUCUGUAAUUUCAUUUGGGUUAGACAUCUGAUAUAUUUUCUCAUGAAGCAGGACUAAAGUAGAGAAAGGUGUGACAGAGAUAAAUGCUUAUUAAAAUGGCAGCCAAGUCAUUUUUUUGUGUGUCAGAAGGGGGCAGGUCUGCAUUGCCCUUAAAGGUGGAGAAGUGCUUUGUAAAACAGCCACCGUGGAGGAGUCUGAAGAAUCAUCUCCACAGUGCCUUGUUUCAGACCGUAACCAAAGGCAGCUGUCAAGGGAAGAGCUUAAGAACAAAACAAGUAUAUAAGAUGCUUCAGUUUACUGUUCUCCCAUCCUUCCAUCGCUUGCAGCUCAGGGGCUUCCUGACCUGGCAGCAUAUGCUGAUCUCCAAUGGAUUUAUCGCCCAUGAGUUCAACCAUUUCUCCUCUGAAUGUGUGUAAACUUUAGCUGUUCCUGAAACAACCCAAGGCCAGUGGUGAGACCACUGGUCCUGCUGUGAAACUCAGCAGAAAAUGCAGAGCUGAGCCGGUCAAAGACACUGUCU